GUGAGAUAAAAUCGACGUUUGGACAUGCGAUUUCACGCUGAUUUCAUCUCAUGA
rnacentral:pre_miRNA from 1 species